rnacentral:rRNA from 1 species
GAUGAACGCUGGCGGCGUGCCUAAUACAUGCAAGUCGAGCGAACGGACGAGAAGCUUGCUUUUCUGAUGUUAGCGGCGGACGGGUGAGUAACACGUGGAUAACCUACCUAUAAGACUGGGAUAACUGCGGGAAACCGGAGCUAAUACCGGAUAAUAUUUUGAACCGCAUGGUUCAAAAGUGAAAGACGGUCUUGCUGUCACUUAUAGAUGGAUCCGCGCUGCAUUAGCUAGUUGGUAAGGUAACGGCUUACCAAGGCAACGAUGCAAAGCCGACCUGAGAGGGUGAUCGGCCACACUGGAACUGAGACACGGUCCAGACUCCUACGGGAGGCAGCAGUAGGGAAUCUUCCGCAAUGGGCGAAAGCCUGACGGAGCAACGCCGCGUGAGUGAUGAAGGUCUUCGGAUCGUAAAACUCUGUUAUUAGGGAAGAACAUAUGUGUAAGUAACUGUGCACAUCUUGACGGUACCUAAUCAGAAAGCCACGGCUAACUACGUG